rnacentral:rRNA from 1 species
GACGAACGCUGGCGGCGUGCCUAACACAUGCAAGUCGAACGGACGAGGCCCCCUUCGGGGGCCGAGUUAGUGGCGAACGGGUGAGUAACGCGUGAGCAACCUGCCUUUCAGAGGGGGACAACAGUUGGAAACGACUGCUAAUACCGCAUAACACAUAUUUGCCGCAUGACAGAUAUGUCAAAGAUUUUAUCGCUCGGAGAUGGACUCGCGUCCGAUUAGUUAGUUGGUGAGGUAACGGCUCACCAAGACCGCGAUCGGUAGCCGGACUGAGAGGUUGAACGGCCACAUUGGAACUGAGACACGGUCCAAACUCCUACGGGAGGCAGCAGUGAGGAAUAUUGGUCAAUGGUCUGACGACUGAACCAGCCAUGCCGCGUGAAGGUCACGGCCCUAUGGGUCUUAAACUUCUUUUGUAAGGGAGCAAUAAGCUUUACGUGUAGAGUGAUGAGAGUACCUUACGAAUAAGCAUCGGCUAACUCCGUGCCAGCAGCCGC